AGAACUUAGCAGAGAUGCUUUGGUGCCUUCGGGAACUCUGAGACAGGUGCUGCAUGGCUGUCGUCAGCUCGUGUUGUGAAAUGUUGGGUUAAGUCCCGCAACGAGCGCAACCCUUAUCCUUUGUUGCCAGCGGUUAGGCCGGGAACUCAAAGGAGACUGCCAGUGAUAAACUGGAGGAAGGUGGGAAUGACGUCAAGUCAUCAUGGCCCUUACGAGUAGGGCUACACACGUGCUACAAUGGCGCAUACAAAGAGAAGCGACCUCGCGAGAGCAAGCGGACCUCAUAAAGUGCGUCGUAGUCCGGAUUGGAGUCUGCAACUCGACUCCAUGAAGUCGGAAUCGCUAGUAAUCGUGGAUCAGAAUGCCACGGUGAAUACGUUCCCGGGCCUUGUACACACCGCCCGUCACACCAUGGGAGUGGGUUGCAAAAGAAGUAGGUAGCUUAACCUUCGGGAGGGCGCUUACCACUUUGUGAUUCAUGACUGGGGUGAAGUCGUAACAAGGUAGGCGUAGAUGA
rnacentral:rRNA from 1 species